AAUGUAAAAAAUAAAUUAAUAAAAAAGAAAAACAAAAACCUUAUAUUUGUCUGAAAUUUCUCUUUAACUACAAAGACCCUAGUUAUUUUGAGGGCUCAUAAUCUGAGCACCCGUGUUGCAUCCUGGUAAAACAGCGCCUGCUGGAGGAUUGCAUACUCCAGAGGUCUAUAAUUCUGUCAAUGUUAAAUAAAAGUUUUUUUCUUUCUUUUUUAAAAGGCAAGAGGUUUCACUGUGGCCCUGCAACCCACUAUAUAGACCAGGCUGACUGAGAUUAAAUGGAGGAAGAUAUGCUUGUGGAAUUUUGGGAUUAAAUGUGAACUACUAUGCCUGGCUUUAGGGGGGAAGCCCAGGAAGUGUUCUACCGUGUUUGUUAUGUCAUCAAAGUUGAUGUCAGCGGUGGCAAGCUGUGAACAAUGAACGGGUGAUAUUGGAGCAGCAGGUGGCAGGGACAGGGUUUCUGAGAUACUGUAUCCAACUCUUAUUGAGUCAGCCUUGUGCCCUGAAUCACUUUUCAGGGGGCAGUUACUGUUAUUGGAGGGAAAACUUGAGUCUUAUUGCUACAGAAAAAUCAGAAACAAUGGAUGGUGUCUUACAAGACAUCAGCAAAAAUUGCAGUGCCACUGGUGACUGUUGUUACUUUGUUGUAAGACUCUAACAGAAUUUCCCAUACCUGCCAACUUGAAAUAAGCGAUAGACAACUGUUCUUCUCCACUAUAUGUACAUAUGUACAGUUUAAUAGAAGGUCUUCUCCCAGAUCACUAUUCAUGCCUUUUGAGAUAAUACAGGCGGGGUCUGUUGAGACUGCUGACAUUUUCAGUGACCUGUGUGCUACCAAGUGUCUUGUGAUCUUACUGCUGACCCUUUACUGCUGCUGGGAAAUAAAGCAAAGAAUUUGAGUAA